GAAGGGGCAUUUCUUAUCAAUAUAUGUUCCUUCAAUGGCUUCUCUUGGCGUCUUGAAUCCUAAUCCAAUACUCUUCCAGAAACGGUUCCCACCCUUUCCAGGUCUCUUCCCUUUCCCAGCCUUUUUAGAGCAGAGAAACACUUUGGGUUGCUUCAAAAACGCCUUCUCGGUCUGUUCCGCCAUGAUUAGGGAUUCUGAAGAGAGCACGCGUUCUGGUCUUUGCUCAGGCGGCCGAAGG
rnacentral:misc_RNA from 1 species